UACGUAGGCAGCGAGCGUUGUUCGGAAUUACUGGGCGUAAAGAGUGUGUAGGCGGUGUUCCCAGUCUGUUGUGAAAUCUCCCGGCUUAACUGGGAGGGUGCAGCGGAAACUAGAAUGCUAGAGGGUGGGAGAGGUAAGCGGAAUUCCUGGUGUAGCGGUGAAAUGCGUAGAUAUCAGGAGGAACACCGGUGGCGAAGGCGGGUCUCUGGGCAGUAACUGACGCUGAGGAGCGAAAGCGUGGGGAGCGAACAGG
rnacentral:rRNA from 1 species